UUGACGGGGCCGCACAAGCGGUGGAGCAUGUGAUUUAAUUCGAAGCAACGCGAAGAACCUUACCAGGCCUUGACAUGCAGAGAACUUUCCAGAGAUGGAUUGGUGCCUUCGGGAACUCUGACACAGGUGCUGCAUGGCUGUCGUCAGCUCGUGUCGUGAGAUGUUGGGUUAAGUCCCGUAACGAGCGCAACCCUUGUCCUUAGUUACCAGCACGUUAUGGUGGGCACUCUAAGGAGACUGCCGGUGACAAACCGGAGGAAGGUGGGGAUGACGUCAAGUCACCAUGGCCCUUACGGCCUGGGCUACACACGUGCUACAAUGGUCGGUACAAAGGGUUGCCAAGCCGCGAGGUGGAGCUAAUCCCAUAAAACCGAUCGUAGUCCGGAUCGCAGUCUGCAACUCGACUGCGUGAAGUCGGAAUCGCUAGUAAUCGUGAAUCAGAAUGUCACGGUGAAUACGUUCCCGGGCCUU
rnacentral:rRNA from 1 species